GGGCCGGUCAGCUCAGUCGGUUAGAGCGUGGUGCUGAUAACACCAAAGUCGCGAGUUCAAUCCCCGUUUGGUCCC
rnacentral:tRNA from 1 species